AUAAACUAAAAAUCUGAAAAUGAAACCCGGACUCGGCACCGAAACACUGAGCCGGAACCCCGCUAAACCCGUACACCAACUAUAGAGGAGAGAGAUGGGACAACCACCGUACGAGCCUUACUACCUCCACCAAAACCAUCACCCCAACCACCGCCACCAACAACCGGAAUUGACGGAGUAUUACUACCACCAUAGCGUGAAUGAAAGUAUAAACCCUAAUUUGAGCUACACUCAUGAUAUUUCCAUUCCCAAUUCCAGUAAUCCUCCCAGUAUUAGCACCAGUAUUCCAAUACACAUUCCCAAAGAACAGCGCCAUAUCAAUACCCUCUUCGUUUCCGGCCUCCCUGAUGAUGUCAUGCCUCGCGAAAUUCACAACCUUUUCCGCCGUCGUCCCGGGUUCGAGUCCUGCCAGCUCAAGUUCACUGGCCGCGGCAAUCAAGUUGUUGCAUUUGUGACGUUUUAUAACCAUCAAUCAGCUGUGUUGGCAUUACAGUCUUUAGAUGGUGUCAAAUUUGAUCCACAAGCUGGAUCAGUUCUACAUAUUGAAUUGGCUAGAUCAAACUCUAGGCGAAAACAUAAUCCAGGCAGUGGACCUUAUGUUGUGAUCGACAAAAGGAAAAAAUCUUCAGAUAAUGCUGAGGAUACAUCAAGUGAUGAUGGUGAUAAUGAGUCUGAUAAUCAAAGUCAGAGUGAAGAUCCUGACUCUUCCAACAAUAAUGUACAUUCCGCUGUAAAAAGUGAGGAGAAAGUGAAACUUGGUGGCACUGUAGCUGCAGCAAAUUUUUGUUCUUGGUUUUAUCUGCAGGAGCAAACGGAAAAGGCCUCUGGAGGUGAUCUAAGGCCAUGCUCCACCUUGUUUAUUGCUAAUUUAGGCCCUAAUUGCAGUGAGGAUGAACUUAAACAAGCUCUUUCUGAAUAUUCGGGAUUUAAUGGGCUGAAGCUACGUGCUAGAGGUGGUAUGCCAGUUGCAUUUGCGGAUUAUGAGGAAGUAGAACAAGCUACUCAAGCAAUGCAAGCACUUCAGGAUAGCAUGUUGCCAUCAUCAGACAGGGGUGGCAUGCACAUUGAAUAUGCUAGGUCUAAAAUGAGGAAGCCAUAGGCAAAGAAAAAUAUCCCGAUAUUCAAGUGAUUGCUGCAUGAGUGCAUGCUUGUAAGCAAUUGUAGAUGUCCCUUUUCUCUUUGGAGACUUUUCUUAGUAGAUUGACAAGCUGUCGCACACAGAAAGAACAUUUUUUUUUGGUGUUCGACUCCUUUCAGAUUCAUGUGCAAAAACUGCAAAUGUAAAAUCUGAAGAUCAUUUCUGACAUGCAGAAUAUGAAAUCGCACCAUAGCUUUCUGGACAAGAAUCAAGAUUGAUUGUUCCAAGAAAAACAAUAAUUUAGCACUUAUCGGAAAUCCUGAUUCAAAAUGGAAGUCUCAGCUCUCAGUAAACUACAAGCAACCUUUGAGAGUUUUCAGGAUUACAAUGAGUCUCCCUGACAUUUGGCUGUAUUACAUUCUGCCAUUUCAUUUUUCUUGAGCCACAAAACUCUCACACAAAACUCUCAAAUGGAACAAGUAGGACAAAAUAGUACUCCCUCCGUCCCAGAAUAGUCGUUACACUUACCUUUGCACAAAGUUUUAGGUGAUAAGUGGUUGUUUGGUUAUCAAUUGUUAUUUUAUUGAAAAAGUGAAUGUGAUAGAAGUUAAUGGGGUAUUUUUAAUUGAAUGAGAGAGGGGGUGGGGACAAAAAAAAAAUUAGUGGGAAGAGAGUGACAUUAUAAUAAUUGUGGGGUCAUUCCUUAUUUAGAAGUGUAACAACUAAUCUGGGACGAACGAAAAAGGAAAGUGUAACAACUAAUCUGGAACGGAGGGAGUAUUAUUUAAAGCCGAAUAGAGUCAUCAUAUUAAUGAAACAGUUGAAAUUUUUAUACUUCA